AUUGAACGCUGGCGACAUGCCUUACACAUGCAAGUCGAACGGCAGCACGGGAGCAAUCCUGGUGGCGAGUGGCGAACGGGUGAGUAAUAUAUCGGAACGUGCCCAGUCGUGGGGAUAACGUAGCGAAAGCUACGCUAAUACCGCAUACGAUCUAUGGAUGAAAGCGGGGGAUCGCAAGACCUCGCGCGAUUGGAGCGGCCGAUAUCAGAUUAGGUAGUUGGUGAGGUAAAGGCUCACCAAGCCGACGAUCUGUAGCUGGUCUGAGAGGACGACCAGCCACACUGGGACUGAGACACGGCCCAGACUCCUACGGGAGGCAGCAGUGGGGAAUUUUGGACAAUGGGCGCAAGCCUGAUCCAGCAAUGCCGCGUGCAGGAUGAA
rnacentral:rRNA from 1 species